CUUGGUCAUUUAGAGGAAGUAAAAGUCGUAACAAGGUUUCCGUAGGUGAACCUGCGGAAGGAUCAUUACCGAGUUCAUGCCCUUACGGGUAGAUCUCCCACCCUUUGUAUACUAUACCUUUGUUGCUUUGGCGGGCCGCCUAGCUACUGGCUUCGGCUGGUAUGUGCCCGCCAGAGGACCCAAAACCCUGAAUUAUUAGUGUCGUCUGAGUAAAAUAUUUAAUAUUUAAAACUUUCAACAACGGAUCUCUUGGCUCUGGCAUCGAUGAAGAACGCAGCGAAAUGCGAUAAGUAAUGUGAAUUGCAGAAUUCAGUGAAUCAUCGAAUCUUUGAACGCACAUUGCGCCCCUUGGUAUUCCGAGGGGCAUGCCUAUUCGAGCGUCAUUAUCACCCCUCAAGCCUAGCUUGGUGUUGAGGCCUGCUGUCAAGGCAGCCUCUAAAAUCAGUGGCAGUGCUGUCAGGCUCUAAGCGUAGUAAAUCUAAUCGCUAUAGACACCUGGUGGACACUCGCCAGAACCCCCCCAUUUUUUAAUGAUUGACCUCGGAUUAGGUAGGGAUACCCGCUGAA
rnacentral:sRNA from 1 species